rnacentral:rRNA from 1 species
GACGAACGCUGGCGGCGUGCCUAAUACAUGCAAGUCGAGCGAGGUUGUUUGGAAUGCUUGCAUUUUAAACAACCUAGCGGCGGACGGGUGAGUAACACGUGGGCAACCUGCCCUGUAGACUGGGAUAACUUCGGGAAACCGGAGCUAAUACCGGAUAAUUCUUUUAGCCUCAUGGCUUUAAGCUAAAAGGCGCUUCGGCGUCACUACAGGAUGGGCCCGCGGUGCAUUAGCUAGUUGGUGGGGUAACGGCCUACCAAGGCAACGAUGCAUAGCCGACAUGAGAGGGUGAUCGGCCACAUUGGGACUGAGACACGGCCCAAACUCCUACGGGAGGCAGCAGUAGGGAAUCUUCCACAAUGGACGAAAGUAUGAUGGAGCAACGCCGCGUGAGUGAUGAAGGUUUUCGGAUCGUAAAACUCUGUUGUAAGGGAAGAACAAGUGCGUUAGGUAAUGAACGCACCUUGACGGUACCUUAUUAGAAAGCCACGGCUAACUACGUGCCAGCAGCCGCAGUAA